UACGGAGGGAGCAAGCGUUGUUCGGAAUUACUGGGCGUAACGGGUGUGUAGGCGGCUGUUUAUGUUUGGUGUGAAAUCUCCCGGCUCAACCGGGAGGGUGCGCCGAAUACUGAAUGACUUGGAGUGCGGGAGAGGAAAGUGGAAUUCCUGGUGUAGCGGUGAAAUGCGUAGAUAUCAGGAGGAACACCGGUGGUGUAGACGGCUUUCUGGACCGUAACUGACGCUGAGACACGAAAGCGUGGGUAGCAAACAGG
rnacentral:rRNA from 1 species